GGAGAGGUGGCCGAGUGGCUUAAGGCAACGGUUUGCUAAACCGUCGUAGGGGUAAACACCUCUACCGGGGGUUCGAAUCCCCCCCUCUCCG
rnacentral:tRNA from 1 species